ACAAACCUUCGGAAUAACAAAGCUUUGGAAUUACGAAUGUAUGCGAGCAGACAGAUACAUUUUUAAUUGAAUUAACAAGAGAAUUUGAUUUGAGAAGUGACUGCAAUGCGGUUUACUGCAGCAUCGUGGAUGUCUGCAUUCAUUAAUAUAUUCUUUUGGCAUCAAUUUUACAUUGCAGCAGAAAUACAUCCGAGGGGGAAGGGGGGGUGGUGGUGGUGUUUCACAAAGAAUUAAGUCAUGCUUGAAUGCAUAUGCUCCAGAUGCAUAAUCCGACCAAUGUGGAGAGGGGAGGUAUACCACAUGCAGCUGAAAUUUAAGUGUAAUUCUUUGAGUCACGCUUAAUCUCUUUGUGAAACCACCCCUCCCCCGAUUCUCCAAGCGUAAACAUACAUGUACACACCACAUGAAAAUGUUAUCAAUUUAUUUGGGAGAAGGUACACUUCCAGGGGAAAUUUUAAAGCGUUGUGUUCAUGAUGUGGUUUUUUUUCAUCAAAUUGGCGAUUAUCUGAGGUGUUGAACAGCUUUUUCUGACUCACUUGGAAUAUUGAGAGUUUAUAAACAGAAGGCCUGAACUCCAAUACUCCUGACUCAGUUGUUCCAGAACCCGGUUAAUGCCAUCGGAUUUCAGGUAACACUUUUCUCAUUCCAGCGUUCCCACGAAACGAUGGAUUGCUGUAGAAUUAAUGCUGAUAUAUUAUAUCUUAGAAUAAAACUUGAGGUAUGCAACCGGUGUUCUUUUUUAUGAGAGGACAUGGAGUCUUCACAACAUUAUAUCAUGGAUGAGUGGUUUAUUAUAUCAUUAGAAUAAGCAGAAAAGAGAGAUGUUUGGGGGUAUGAUUUCAGUGUCCAAUGUGGACAGUUGAAUAUAUGUGACAUCUCAGGGUCUUUUUUUUGGGGGGGGGGUAUUGCAUAGGAAGAUUUACUAGUGAUUUCAGCAUUCGAAUACUCAGCAUUUUUAAUUGCUUGUCCAAAUGUACUCAAACUUCCGUUGCUCUGACUUUUCUGUUUUCACACAAGCUAGCUUGCUCCAAGGGUUUCAUUCUCUUUUAAAGUGGUUGAAACCAGACUCUCUACACAUGCCUAACUCAUCAUUUUGGUACCAAAUUUACGCAAUUGUAAAGAAGAGAGUUAAGUCCUUCUGUUUGAAAACCUCAACAUGAAGAAAACCAUUUCUUUCUGAAGCUGGUAUCUUCUAUGUAUGUUACUAGUAAGAUAGAUAUUGUACAUGUUCAUUGAUAAAAGUGUCAUUUUAAGAGUUUUUCAUUCAUUCAUUGCCAUAUUUAGGAACAAAUUGUAUUUGCUUCAAAUUAAAUAAAAUGUACAUGUUAUAUCUUUGAAGGUUGAUACUAGAUCAAGUUUAGAUAUGAAUAUAUUUUAGUUACCAAAAGAGCGUUUCUGCAGGCAGGGACAAGAUAGAAAAAAAAGAUAUCUACUUUUUUGUUUUUUCUUCUCUUCUUUUUACUUUGGUAGGUUAAUUUAGUCUUAAUUCCAAGCCAUCUUGUCUGGAAAAAAAGAAUGGUAGCUUUACCUUUAUCUGUUUUCUGUAUAGACUAAGUCAAUAUCAUUAUUAAGGCCCCGUAACAUAAAGCUUUGUAAUCGAUCAUAAGGCUGAUAUCUAUGGUUGAUCAUACACAAUAAUCAAUGCAAUCAAUCAUAGAAAUCAGUGUCACAAUCAAUCACUAAGCUUUAUGUUACAGACCCCUGAUGUAAGUUUCUCCAUUAAGACAAGGUCAUGUAUCUUCAACCCUGGACCCCGUAACAUAAAGCUUUGUAAUUGAUCAUAAGGCUGAUAUCUAUGAUUGAUCAUACACAAUAAUCAAUGCAUUCAAUCGUAGAAAUCAGCCAAAUGAUCGAUUGCUAAGCUUUAUGUUACAGGUCCCAGCUCAAUUAUUACUGCCCAGCGCCCUGUUGCACAAAAUUACCAUAAUAGUAACUUUCAUGCAAUGGGGGCCCAGAAUCAACUGAAGUUCAAGGUUCUCCUUUUUAAAAGAUAGCAAACCAAAGACCAUUAUCAUUCAAUGUAAUCAUUAUUCCCUUCUUUAAAACAAAAUGAUUUGUCGUAAAUAAGUCUGUGUUCUGGUUUCCAUUUCAAGACUUGCUAUGAUACAUUUGCACGAUUUCUCUUAACAAAUUUACUAUCAGCCAGUCAGAUUGAAGGAUAUCAGUAGCAUUUAACUGUCAGUGUAAAUUGUUAUUGUAACAAGUUUUAUGAAAUGGGUCCCAGAUAUGUUUUGGCAAAGCUUAGCAACAUAAAGUUCCCUUUCAUUUUUACUUUGUUUCAAACUAAUUCAUAUCAAAUAAAUACAGUCAACUGAAUAGAAAAAUCAGUACAAUGAAUAAGAAGUGCUUGCACCUCAUACUACGGUUAUAAUAAUAAUAAUGUUUUAUUUACCCAGGGUAACCACUUCAGUUAGGAAACUGCUCUACCAGCGGGCCCUGCAUAACAUAUGUUAUUAUUACCCUUCUCCAAUCCAAAUGCUGAGCGCCUAGCAAGAAGGCAGAAGGUCCCAUUUUUAUAAGUCUUUGGUAUGACUCGGCAGAGGAUCGAACCCACGACCUCCCGUUCUUGAGGCGGACGCUCUACCACUGAGCCAUCAUGUUCGGUUGUUGCUAAGCUUUGGCAUGCCAUAGUUGAAAAAACCUUAUAUUACAUGUUUGUAUUAAGGAUGAGUAAUGUUACUUUUAGUAUUUUCAAAUUUCUGUUGUACAAAACUACAUUUUGUUUAUUUACCCUUCUGUCAACAAUGUAAUCUUCUCUACUCUAGAUAUAUUAGGGAGUAUUUCUUCUGUUGCAAGUCAC